ACGGCCGCUUUGCGCCGGGCGGCGCGGGGCGUUCGCGGCCCCUGAGGCGUCGCCAUGUACUCGGCCGCCGCCGCCGCCUCCUCGCCGCCGCGACGGGACUUCAUCUCCGUCACCCUCAGCUCGGAAGAGGCGGUGGGGGCCGGCGGCUACAACAACAGCAAGGCCUGGAGGCGGCGCUCCUGCUGGCGGAAAUGGAAGCAGCUGUCCCGACUGCAGCGCAGCAUCAUUCUCUUCCUGUUUGCCUUCUUGGCAGUCUGUGGAGUCAUUUCAUACACAAGCAUGGAGGAGCCAUGGAAAAGUCUAAUUAACAAAUCGUUGGAUGAUCAGAGAACAGAACCAGAAAUUCCUGGAUUAAAGCUGGCAAAUCCAGCUGUCUUACCAGCACCCCAGAAAGCUGAUACCAACCUUGAAGACCACCCAGAACUUUCACCACAGAAGCCACCAAAACUGCCUCAUGUUCGGCGUGGUCCUUCCAAUCUGCAGAUUAAGCCACCAUGGAGGGAUGUGAGGCUGAAGACUCAACAUGAUACCAGCAGAGCUGUAGAAGGGCCAGUCCAAGCUGAUAAGGAAGAGAAAACGGAGAAAUCUGUUAUCAGCUGGAGAGGAGCAGUGAUAGAACCUGACCAAAGCACCGAAUCCCCAUCGAGUAAAAGAAAAGAACCAGAAAAACCUUCAUCUGUGGAAGCUGAAGACCAGAAGGAGCCGGUGCCCAUCAACGACCGUCAGGUGGCUGUGAUCGAAGCCUUCCGACAUGCCUGGAAAGGGUACAAGGACUUUGCCUGGGGCCACGAUGAGCUGAAGCCUUUGUCCAAGUCCUACAGUGAGUGGUUUGGACUUGGGCUUACCUUAAUUGAUGCCUUGGAUACUAUGUGGAUUUUAGGCCUAAAAGAAGAGUUUGAAGAAGCAAGAAAAUGGGUAGCAAACGAUUUGGUAUUUGAUAAAAAUGUGGAUGUGAACCUCUUUGAGAGCACGAUUCGGAUCCUGGGGGGCCUGCUGAGCACCUACCAUCUCUCAGGAGACAGCCUCUUCCUGGAAAAAGCUAAAGACAUCGGGAACAGGCUCAUGCCAGCAUUUAAGACCCCCUCCAAGAUACCAUAUUCUGAUGUCAACAUCGGCCGGGGCACUGCGCACCCCCCUCGCUGGACAUCUGACAGCACUGUGGCAGAGGUGACCAGUAUUCAGCUGGAGUUUAGGGAGCUCUCUCGUCUCACUGGAGAUGAGAAGUUCCAGAAAGCUGUAGAUGAGGUGAUGAAACAUGUUCACACCCUCUCAGGGAAAAAUGAUGGACUAGUGCCUAUGUUCAUCAACACCAACAGUGGACAGUUCACUCACUUGGGUGUCUACACUCUUGGAGCCAGAGCUGACAGCUACUAUGAGUAUUUGCUCAAGCAAUGGAUUCAGGGUGGGAAAAAAGAAAAUGAGCUGUUGGAAGACUAUAUGAGAGCCAUAGAAGGAGUGAAAAAGCAUCUUCUUCAGAGAUCACAACCCAAGAAACUUACUUUUGUAGGAGAGCUUGCUCAUGGCCAUUUCAGUGCCAAGAUGGAUCACUUGGUUUGCUUUUUGCCUGGUACUUUGGCCCUGGGAGCUCACAAUGGUUUGACUGCUGAUCAUAUGAAACUGGCUGAAGCCCUUAUCGAAACCUGUUACCAGAUGUAUGCUCAAGUGGAGACAGGCCUGAGUCCAGAGAUUGUUCACUUCAAUCUUCAUGCACAAAAGGGUCACAAAGAUGUGGAGAUCAAGCCUGCAGACAGGCACAACUUACUGAGACCAGAAACUGUGGAAAGCCUUUUUUAUAUGUACAGAUUCACUGGGGAUAAGAAAUACCAAGACUGGGGCUGGGAAAUCUUGCAGAACUUCAACAAAUACACACGGGUUCCUACAGGUGGUUAUACUUCCAUUAACAAUGUCCAAAAUCCCAGCAAUCCAGAGCCACGUGAUAAGAUGGAGAGCUUCUUCCUUGGGGAGACACUCAAAUACAUGUUCCUGCUGUUCUCAGAUGACAUAGACUUAAUCAACCUUGACAAAUACGUAUUUAACACAGAAGCUCAUCCACUCCCUAUCUGGGUGCCAGCUUAGACUGGGUGUCAGGAGACCUUCCAGCGGUGGCAUUUUUAUCUUCAAGUCACUUUACUUUUCAGGGUAUAAAGAGAGAUGCUAAAUUACACCUUUUUUGGCUGAAAACACAAAACCUUUGGAAAAGCAUCUCUGGUUUGGAGAAGUCAUGUCAGUCUUAAAUCUAAUCCCUGUUUCUGGGAUGGACAGGCUAUGUCCUACUAAGCUGGUUUUCCUGAUAUUGAUGAUGAGGUUCAGAGAAUAAGUAUAGUGUGGACCAUGAUGUUCACGGGGCUCUGGUGAUCUAGAACUUGCUUCUGCCAGUCUUACUAAAUGCUCAUUACAUAUCAGGAAUGCAGCAAGUGGUCUUACAGCACAGGAUUGUCCCUGGAGAGAAGGAAUAAGCCCGCAGGUUUCUGGCUAAUUCUGGAUUCACUGAACCACUUUGUUCCAGCACCAUUCCUUCCUAAGAACCUGUAGUGUUUCAGGUGGCAAAGGGAAUAAACCAAGAACUGUAAUGUUAUCCCAGGUAGAAGCAAAGCUGCCAGUCUUGCUACUCACGCUCUGCUCUCAUUCCAAGCCACCAAGAUGUGCUGCCUCAUGUGAGAAGAAGGAGGUGGCAGCAAACAUCUGCUGUACAGUGUCUUAGUUCUAUGAAGCACUUUGAACAAGCUGUUCCAGCUGUGGCUGCAAUGAAUGAUGGAAGAGAAUUUGCUGCUGGUUUGGCUCCAAGUGGUAUCUGAUUUUGUAGAGCCCUUGACUCCUUCAGCUGUGUACAAUAUCUACAAAAUCUACAAAUAACCCUCCAGGCAAUUCAGCUCCUGAUUUCCAGUGCCACACUCAGUGUACUUACACUAACAAGACCAGUAAAAGUGACACAUCAGUGACAUGCUGCUCAGAAUCUUGUUGCUUCAGCAGAAGAAUUAAGAAUUUCCUGACUCGAUUUGGGAAGAACCGUUUGGGUUUUGGUGUCUCUGAAGUAUUGCUACAAUUGUCAGUUUGGAGGCCUCAGCUUCCACUAAAGCCCAACCGCGAGUUCAGAAAAGCAUGCCUUGAGCUUGCCAGGAAAGCCACGGAUUCGCAUGGUCGGUUUCCAAGCUCUUAAAGGUGUGUGACCAAAUAAACACUUCUUGCUGUUCUGUGCAAUGUCCCCAUCUUGGUCAUACUCCUUGUGCCAGUAUGUGAUGAUGGAGUAAAUACAGCUUUUUUCAAGCCCCCCUGGUACAGGCCUUAGACCAGCACGGGGGCUCUGCAUGUGGAUGGUGCCUGUGAAUGGUACUCUGGUUCGCUCACUGCUUGCUCUGCUUUCCUUUUGUGUCCCUGAAGUUCAGGCACCAGCAGCAUCCCUGCAAUGGAACUGUGACUGCUGCUGUUGGGCUUGUCCCUUCAGCUCAGAGAGCACCACACUCCGAGGCUUUCCAUCUCAUCCUUCCUUGCCCAAGGCUUCCAGGUAUUAUGGACAUCUGUGGCACUGGCUUCGGGCUUCUGGCAGAGUUUCUCGGGCCUGUUUUUGUAAUUAUUUUUAGCUCUGCUUUAUCUAUCAUCUGUGUGCAAGUCCGUGUAUAUCGUGUUUAUCCCUUUGCCAUAGCGUCUGAAAUCCUUUAGCUCAUCCUUCCAUAUCAAUCAAACCAUUUGUGCCCCUCACACUAUGUGGGUUCCUUAGGGGCAGGUACUGUCUGCAAGAGGAAAGUAAGAGAUCAGUAUAGUCCAUUACAGCAGGAUUAAAGAACUCUUACCCUUCUGGAACGUCAAAAGACACCUCUGUUCAUUCAAAGACAAACCCAGGCACUGGCCAGGGGUGGUAACUUUCAGAUCACUUUCCAAAGGACUCGUACUGAAUGUGGCUGCUAGGUUGGUGUAAUUGUGUGCCUGCCUGCUGGGACAUACAGGUACUGUUAGAAAGGUAAUCCAGGCAAGAUGGAAUCCUCUCUGCAGACACAUCCCACUCUGCUUUUUUUCAUGUGCUAGUCCUGAGUAAUUGCUGGGGUACAGCCAAUUAAAUUCAGAGAUAUCAGGGGUGUCUGUGAGCAUGGGAGGUGACCACCAGAUCCUGGCAUAAGGCUGAACAUGGCAGUGUGUGUAAGUCAUAGUUUCAGCUGCCAACCUGAAGCCUGACUCCAGGAUGAGCAAAAGGGAGGUUAGCAGCUCUUUGCAGAGGUUUUAAUUGGCACAAAUGGAGAAGAUACAGGUUUUAUUGAGGAUGUAGUUCCUCUAAGAGUCUUAAAGCAUUCUUCUUCAUGGGCUGGAGUUCGAUCAGGUCUUCCAUAUGUUGCCCUUCAUUUGUACAUACCUGAAAGAUCUGGUAAGUGGACAGAUACGUUCCUCCUCUUCCUGCACUCCUCGGCAGGGGAGGUGUGGGAGGAGCAGAAGCUUUGCCCUUUUGUAGUUAAGAACAGUGAAGAGGUAAGUGGGUUGCAUGCCAAAAGCCCUUAUGUCAGCACCUGGAUAUUGUGAAAUAACAUCAGUGACUGACAUUGUAGCUCUGGGAGCCAAGCGUACGGUGAUGGCAGGGAGGACCCAGCAGUGCAAAUACUUCACACAAAGCCUUGUGUUUGAGCACUACCACGGGUGCUGAGCAAUGGUGGGGCUUUGCCUGCAUAACACAAGCCUCUGAUGACCUGGGAGACAUUUCCCUGAGCUCAUAAAGUCACAAAUGCAUCAACUGAGCCAUCCGAUUGAUUAGCAGGAUUUAAUAUUAUUGCAAUUAUGCUAGUAUUUAUUGGUGCACAGUCAUUCCUGUAGGUAAGAAUCCACCUGUUCAUGUGCAAAGAUGAGUUUACUCCACAUGGGAAGGUGAGGAGUAUCCUUUUUUUAUCUUCUUUGGUUAUACUGUCAAGCCAUGAAAUUAUAUCACACACUUUAAUAAACUUGUAAUUUAUUUUCAAAAGA